rnacentral:misc_RNA from 1 species
GUCUUUGACAGUUUUAUGUGUCAAGGUAAACUUAAAAGUAAAAUCUACGUUGUGAACAUUGAAUUUUCUGAAUCGAUUUCACAUUUUUGUGUUUUUAAAUUAAGUGAAGUGUUAUAAAAAUAAAAUAAUGAGGCUUUUUAUGAACUGUUAUGUGGCUAAAGAUAAAGUGGAUCGAUUAAACAAAUCAUGAUACCAAACCCAUUUUAAAUUUUAAACCAAGACUUAAACAAUGUUAAUAAAAAAACUUGUUCCUAUGACUGUUAAUAAUUAUAUUAGUUAGAAUUGAAUCAUGGAGGAGAAAUUGAACGGGGAAUACUUCGAAGGUCAAGCGGAAGGCUUCAAUUACAAUAAUCUGACGGGCGGUGCGGACAGUGCCAGCGGAGGGUCUGGUGGCUCGGGCAUGGAAUGUCUUCCUCUCCGUUCUCAAUCAUUCCACUACCUUGUCUCAGAGCAGGCUAAAUCCCUCGUCGCAUUACAGGAACUCCAGAAUGAGGUCGGGGCCCUGCUCGAGUUCCGCGACCUCGUCAUCGAGACGUUCCCGAAUCUUCGGUCAAAGAUGGCGCCGUCGCGCGGGAACAGCGUUACUCGGCGCGACUGGGAGCCCGGAGUGCGCGUGCGGCGCAAGCUCCCCGCGCCACAAGAGCCGCGAGCUAAACCUCAUCCCUCCGUGCAAGACUCCGGCUUCAGCACAGAGACCUCAUGCAAGGAAGCGCAUUCGUCCGCAUCCGCGUCGGCUUCAGCGUCGAGGUCGCGUCCGUUGGAAGACGAACUGUGGGCGUUACUUGAUGUCAUCCAACGUAAGGGCGGCAGGUUGCGGGAAGAGGCCGAACUGCUGCGUGGGGAACUCGACGAGCGGGCUACAGCCGAAGACGAAUUCACCCACACCGUCUCACACCAGCACUGCGAUUGUGAACAUGUACAGAGGUUGCGCGAGGAACGAGACGCCUUGCUCGAAAGAACAGCGCAGCUUGAAGCGCAGGUGCAUUCGUCGAGCAAGCCGACAUCGGCGCUGGGCCGGCUGGACUCUACGUUUGGUUCGCCGUCACGAGUGCGCGUGCCGACUCCCGAUUCGGAAAAGUUCGCGGCGAUUCUACUCGAGAGCAAUCCCGUCGAACUGCAGAGACAACUCCUCAACUCCACCGUUCAGAAUCAGGUUUUAAGUGAACGGCUGAAACGUGUCGUUGCGCAGCGUUCGUCACUUUUCGAAAGAUUAGAAAGAGCGCGAGAUGUCAACGAAGAUCUAAAAUUUAGAUUGGAGGAAAAGAGCAUAGAGGCGGAGACGGCCCGGGGUCGCGUGCGGCAGCUGGAGGCGGGCGCGCACAGCAGCAUGCGGGAGAUGGAGCCGCUGGCGCUCCCGGGCGAGGCUCCCGGGCGCCGGGCGCGGCCCUCCCGCAUCCCGCUGCACAAGGGCGCCGCCCCCCGCCAGCCGCCGCCCCGCCCCCCCUCCGCACACUCGCAGCGCUCGACCAAGUCCGCGGUGCCCGUGCGCCGGGAGCCCGCGCCCGACGCCAAGGUGCGCGCGCGCUCCUUCUGGAACAAUUGGUUCUUUAAAGACUCCUAGGGGACAGCGCCCCCCUCCCCCUCGUGCUAAAACCCACCGUGUGAGAGUGCACCAGUGACUCGCUUCCGUCCGGUUACGGUUAACGCUCGCCGGCCCAUGCCAUUAUGUCGAUAAGCGGCUCGAGCGCGGAGUGGGAGGUGGCGUGGGAGUACGUGCGUCGGCUCGCCCGCCUCGAGCCGCGCCUGCCCGCCGCGCGCUCGCUGGCCGCCGAGCUGCUCAGCGCCGAC